rnacentral:lncRNA from 1 species
AUAUAGAUAUUGCAUUUACAUAUGAGUAAAGUACGUUGUCAUUACAGACUGGUAUCUUGUUUGCAGUUAUAACUCUAUCAACAUGGAUGGCACCCUCAUGCGUAAGGCAAUGCAUGCAGACCCAGAAAACUAUGUCACCUCCAUGGGGCCUGGACAAUACUGGACCUGGGGUACUCACAUGAGAGGGAUGAAAGACUAUAAGAUGUCUCCUUCAACUAGUGGGGUCCCCGCUCGCCCCUGGACUCCUCGGUGCACACCUCCUCCCCAACAGCAGCAGCCAUCAAUCCCACCCCACCCUCACCCUCACCCGCAUCCUCCCCCACACCCACCACCUGACUACCACCACAAUAUGUACAUCCCUGGGACACCAUCAGGAUUUUGCACACUGAGGCCCGCAGCACCCCGAAGCGAGCUGGAUGUCCACAAUUCUUUCUCUACCUUUGGCAAGAAGCGACGUCUUCAGAUGUCCCCCCAGGGAGAGGCUGCGAUUAUAAAUAAUGACCUGUACAAUGACUGACUUUUCAAUGACUUGGAAUGGAUGAUUAAAAUGACGGAUAACCUCAUAUGAAUAGGAAGAGACCAUUCAGUACAUACAUUUAUGAACAAAUGAUUUACAAGUGGGAUGAAAAAUACAGAGCAUUUGCAAAAGAGAAAUAAUGAAUAAACAAUCCAUUAUGGCAAACAUGCUGAAUGGAAAUGAAGUCUGACGGCUAUUUAUGUGACAUGCAACUGUAACAUGGUCAAUAUGUGUCUGCCUAUUAUUAUUAUUAUUAUUAUUAUUAUUUAGACAAUCAAACUGGAGCAGCAAUUAUAUCCAAAAUCUUUUGAAAAAGCAUUAGUGGACAAUACUUUUGCACAUCCUUAUGAAUUUAUAUUUUUGAUUUUAUGAAAAUAAAAGGUGUUUUCUUUUUGUAUGUUUGUUUGCUAACAGAGUUUUUGUGAAUAUGACACAUAGUAGGAUAAUGUAUAUGCAAGCUGCAACAUGAUGCAGACAACUGUAAAGAGGGGAGGUUCCCCACACAUGUACUGUAUACAUUUAUGAAAAUAAAGUAUUUUUUUCAUAUGGUCU